GUCUGGAGAUUGUGCUGGCCAUGGCAGGGUCUUGAUCUGGUCGUCCUCCAUCCACACCUUGAUUGACCUGGCUGUGUGGCAUGGAGCAUUGUCCUGCUG